GCUGGAGUUCCUCUGAUCAUGUUGCACUUAUUUGCAGAACUGCAGGUGUGAGAUUUAUUUAGAUGGAACAUAUAUGCAUGAGCAGCUAUGGAAAAUGUCAGCCUUCAUAGAAUAAGCUUAGAGACGUCUACAACGACAGAAGAAUCGAAGUCUCAAAAGGUGAGUCUGGAGGAAGAUAGAGAGAGGGAGAAAACCGUCUGGAUUUGAAUUGUGAGAUCUGGACCCAAGCCUUGUAAUGAUGGGUGAAGAAGGCCCUCCCAGUUUGGAGUACAUCCAGGCCAAGGACUUGUUCCCCCCAAAAGAACUGGUUAAGGAGGAAGAGUAUUUACAGGUAAGGAUGUAAGAACCCAGGAAACCAUCCACUGAAGAACACUGUGUAAAUCCCAGGCCACAGG
rnacentral:lncRNA from 1 species